rnacentral:rRNA from 1 species
AACGCUAGCUACAGGCUUAACACAUGCAAGUCGUGGGGCAGCAUGGCUGAAGCUUGCUUCAGCUGAUGGCGACCGGCGCACGGGUGAGUAACGCGUAUCCAACCUUCCCAUGACAGGGGAAUAACCUUGCGAAAGUAAGACUAAUGCCCCAUGGUCUCCGACGACGGCAUCAGACUCGGAGUAAAGGCCUCGGCCGGUGAUGGAUGGGGAUGCGUCCGAUUAGCUUGACGGCGGGGUAACGGCCCACCGUGGCACCGAUCGGUAGGGGUUCUGAGAGGAAGGUCCCCCACAUUGGAACUGAGACACGGUCCAAACUCCUACGGGAGGCAGCAGUGAGGAAUAUUGGUCAAUGGGCGCAAGCCUGAACCAGCCAAGUAGCGUGAAGGAUGACUGCCCUAUGGGUUGUAAACUUCUUUUAUAAAGGAAUAAAGUCGGGUAUGGAUACCCGUUUGCAUGUACUUUAUGAAUAAGGAUCGGCUAACUCCGUGCCAGCAGCCGCGGUAAUACGGAGGAUCCGAGCGUUAUCCGGAUUUAUUGGGUUUAAAGGGAGCGUAGAUGGAUGUUUAAGUCAGUUGUGAAAGUCUGCGGCUCAACCGUAAAAUUGCAGUUGAUACUGGAUAUCUUGAGUGCAGUUGAGGCAGGCGGAAUUCGUGGUGUAGCGGUGAAAUGCUUAGAUAUCACGAAGAACUCCGAUUG